rnacentral:rRNA from 1 species
AGCGAACGCUGGCGGCAGGCUUAACACAUGCAAGUCGAACGCCCCGCAAGGGGAGUGGCAGACGGGUGAGUAACACGUGGGAACGUACCCUUUGGUUCGGAAUAACUUGGGGAAACUCAAGCUAAUACCGGAUAAGCCCUUAUGGGGAAAGGUUUACUGCCGAAGGAUCGGCCCGCGUCUGAUUAGCUAGUUGGUGAGGUAAUGGCUCACCAAGGCGACGAUCAGUAGCUGGUCUGAGAGGAUGAUCAGCCACACUGGGACUGAGACACGGCCCAGACUCCUACGGGAGGCGGCAGUGGGGAAUAUUGGACAAUGGGGGCAACCCUGAUCCAGCCAUGCCGCGUGAGUGAUGAAGGCCUUAGGGUUGUAAAGCUCUUUUACCCGGGACGAUAAUGACUGUACCGGGAGAAUAAGCCCCGGUUAACUUCGUGCCAGCAGCCGCAGUAA